CCUACGGGGGGCAGCAGUAGGGAAUAUUGCUCAAUGGGGGAAACCCUGAAGCAGCAACGCCGCGUGGAGGAUGAAGGUCUUCGGAUUGUAAACUCCUUUUGUUAGAGAAGAUAAUGACGGUAUCUAACGAAUAAGCACCGGCUAACUCCGUGCCAGCAGCCGCGGUAAUACGGAGGGUGCAAGCGUUACUCGGAUGCACUGGGUGUAAAGAGCGCGUAGGCGGGAUUGCAAGUCCGAUGUGAAAUCCUAUGGCUUAACCAUAGAACUGCAUUUGAAACUGUUAUUCUUGAGUGUGGGAGAGGUAGGUGGAAUUCUUGGUGUAGGGGUGAAAUGCGUAGAGAUCAGGAGGAACACGCAUUGCGAAGGCGACCUGCUGGAACAUAACUGACGCUGAUGCGCGAAAGCGUGGGGAGCAAACAGGAUUAGAUACCCUAGUAGUC
rnacentral:rRNA from 1 species